rnacentral:tRNA from 1 species
GGGAGUAUAGCUCAGUGGUAAAGUGCUUGUCUAGCACAUAGGAGGCCUUGGGUUCAAUCCUCAACACUGCAA